GACAGACAGCGAAGCAAAGGCGGCCACGGAACUCGCCAAUCGCACUCCGCCGCCGCCAGCUUCAUAUCUGCAUCGCAGCCUCACGCAGUCGCAACAACAUUCCGAGAGCGGCAGAGGGAGACCGAGAGGGGAGAGAGCUCCGCUUCGCCCUUCUCCGCCGCAUUGGCCGUGGUCUCGCCGCCGUCGAGGAUAAGAAGCAUUGCAUAAUUGUGGAUCAUGGGUCUCUUAGAGCUCUUCACCACAGCAUGUGUGCCAGUAUUUAACAUGCUUCUGGUGACUGGUGUUGGGUCGUUCUUAGCAACUGAUUUUGCUGGCUUACUAAGCAAAGAAGCAAGAAGACACUUGAACAAUAUAGUAUUUUAUGUAUUCAAUCCAUCCCUUGUUGCAAUCUAUUUGGGAAAAACAAUCACCAUGGAAAGCUUGGCUAAACUGUGGUUUAUGCCAGUGAAUAUUCUUCUUGCUUUUAUCUUCGGUUUAUUCUUGGGAUGGAUCGUGGUAAAAGUUACAGGAGCGCCUGCGAAGCUAAGAGGCCUUAUUUUGGGUUGUUGUUCUGCUGGUAACCAAGUGCAAUUUCGACAAUAUCUUUCUCACCAUCAUUCCAGCUCUUUGCAAAGAGAAGGGAAGCCCGUUUGGAAAACCUGAUGUUUGUCAGACUUAUGGACUAUUAUAUUCUUCACUGUCAAUGGCUGCAAGUCCAUUCUGCUUGAGUAUUUAGUAUAAUUUCCAGAUCGCAUUGGAGCUGUGUUUCUAUGGUCGAUUGUGUAUAAUAUUGUCCGUGCCACGUCAAAUGUGACCGAAGGAGAUGGCGGUGCUCAAACAAAAGUGUUAAUUUCAGGAAGUGCUACAGAAAAUAUUGCAGAAGAGAACUGCUCAGCCUCAAAUGAUCACACUGAUGAAUGUAUACUGCCAUUGAUAUCCACAAACAUACCUCCAACCAAAUAUAAGGUUCUGUUGUUGGAGAGAUCGCGGAAGUUUUUAUCGUCGGCUUUUGAAACAGUUGACUUGAAGAAGCUCUUUGCUCCUUCAACCAUUGCAGUGAUUGUUGGGUUCAUCAUUGGAGGAACACCUUUCAUCAGAAAUGCUAUAAUCGGAGACACUGCCCCUCUUCGUGUCCUGCAGGAAUCUGCUGAAUUGAUAGGCGGAGCGGCAAUUCCAUCGGUCACGUUGAUUAUGGGAGCAAACCUUCUCAACGGUAAUCUGCUCUGAAUUUACAGACCGCAGUUUCAGACCACUCCAAUGCAAUGCAAUGCAAUGCUGUGCUAUCAUCCACUGCCGUGCCGUAUUAGGACAAAAUAAGAUCAGAUGACUACAUGAAUCUGGUGAGCGCAAGCAUGAUGUGUGGACCUGUUUCCACUUUCCAGGAGUACGAGGUGGAGCAAGCGUCCAGCCGUCCGUUAUAGCCGGCGUCGUGGUUGUCAGAUACCUCCUGCUCCCUCUGCUGGGCACCGCGCUGGUGAAGGGCGCCGUCCGCCGGUGUUUAGCACUGUUUAAACAUGCAAUUAACAUAAAAUGACACGUUAAACCCCCAAAUUUGCAAUUACUUAAAAGCCAGGGAUCCGUUCAAAUAGACCGAAAAGUCAACUCUCACACCUUCGCUCAAAUGAACUUUUGCCCAAAACAAAAGUUGUAGAGUUUUGUAAGACAAGCAACUUUCGUAUUCAAAGUUUUUCAAGUUACAACAUGAAAUUUGGAGCAAACCUCGAAAAACAGUAGGUUUAGGGGGGUUUCGUUUAAACUUGAAUUCGAAUUUUUAACUUUCAAAUCAUUACUCAAACGAAGUUUGGACUGAAAGGAAAGUUGUAGGAAUUUGAAUUUUGAACAACUUUCGUGUUCAAACUUUUUCGAGUUUCCAUGGAAAAUUUUAAGAAAAUUCCGAGUCAAAACGUUGACCUCU